rnacentral:rRNA from 1 species
AUUGAACGCUGGCGGCAUGCUUUACACAUGCAAGUCGAACGGUAACAGGCCGCAAGGUGCUGACGAGUGGCGAACGGGUGAGUAAUGCAUCGGAACGUGCCCAGUCGUGGGGGAUAACGCAGCGAAAGCUGCGCUAAUACCGCAUACAAUCUAUGGAUGAAAGCGGGGGACCGUAAGGCCUCGCGCGAUUGGAGCGGCCGAUGUCAGAUUAGGUAGUUGGUGGGGUAAAGGCGCACCAAGCCAACGAUCUGUAGCUGGUCUGAGAGGACGACCAGCCACACUGGGACUGAGACACGGCCCAGACUCCUACGGGAGGCAGCAGUGGGGAAUUUUGGACAAUGGGCGCAAGCGUGAUCCAGCAAUGCCGCGUGCAGGAAGAAGGCCUUCGGGUUGUAAACUGCUUUUGUACGGAACGAAACGGACCUGGUUAAUACCUGUGGCUAAUGACGGUACCGUAAGAAUAAGCACCGGCUAACUACGUGCCAGCCGCCGCAGUAACAC